AUUGAACGCUGGCGGCAUGCCUUACACAUGCAAGUCGAACGGCAGCAUGAUCUAGCUUGCUAGAUUGAUGGCGAGUGGCGAACGGGUGAGUAAUACAUCGGAACGUUCCCUGUAGUGGGGGAUAACUAGUCGAAAGAUUAGCUAAUACCGCAUACGACCUGAGGGUGAAAGUGGGGGACCGCAAGGCCUCAUGCUAUAGGAGCGGCCGAUGUCUGAUUAGCUAGUUGGUGAGGUAAAGGCUCACCAAGGCGACGAUCAGUAGCUGGUCUGAGAGGACGAUCAGCCACACUGGGACUGAGACACGGCCCAGACUCCUACGGGAGGCAGCAGUGGGGAAUUUUGGACAAUGGGCGAAAGCCUGAUCCAGCAAUGCCGCGUGUGUGAAGAAGGCCUUCGGGUUGUAAAGCACUUUUGUCCGGAAAGAAAUGGCUCUGGUUAAUACCUGGGGUCGAUGACGGUACCGGAAGAAUAAGGACCGGCUAACUACGUG
rnacentral:rRNA from 1 species